rnacentral:rRNA from 1 species
CCUACGGGAGGCAACAGUGGGGAAUCUUGCGCAAUGGGCGAAAGCCUGACGCAGCCAUGCCGCGUGAAUGAUGAAGGUCUUAGGAUUGUAAAAUUCUUUCACCGGGGGACGAUAAUGACGGUACCCGGAGAAGAAGCCCCGGCUAACUUCGUGCCAGCAGCCGCGGUAAUACGAAGGGGGGCUAGCGUUGCUCGGAAUUACUGGGCGUAAAGGGAGCGUAGGCGGAUAGUUUAGUCAGAGGUGAAAGCCCAGGGCUCAACCUUGGAAUUGCCUUUGAUACUGGCUAUCUUGAGUGUGGGAGAGGUUAGCGGAACUCCGAGUGUAGAGGUGAAAUUCGUAGAUAUUCGGAAGAACACCAGUGGCGAAGGCGGCUAACUGGCCCAUUACUGACGCUGAGGCUCGAAAGCGUGGGGAGCAAACAGGAUUAGAUACCCUGGUAGUCCACGCCGUAAACGAUGAGUGCUAGUUGUCGGCAUGCAUGCAUGUCGGUGACGCAGCUAACGCAUUAAGCACUCCGCCUGGGGAGUACGGUCGCAAGAUUAAAACUCAAAGGAAUUGACGG